AAUUCAGACAAGAGAUGGGAUGAUGAAAGAGGAAAUCUGAGUGCUUUGGAGAUGCAAGAUGGUUGAGGCAAGUGAUGCUUAGGAGGCCUGGGCAAGCUGAACGAAGACAAGAAGACAAAGGCUCCUUGCAAAGUGUCUGCAAAGAACUGGAGCUGCACUUACUGGUCAUUAAACAUUUUCCUUCAAUAAACUGCAACAAAACUGAAUAUCGCAAAACAACAAUGCUUAGGCUUUCUGGGAUGCCCCCUUGGACUGGACAAGAUGAUGUUUACUGAACCUUUUCAGCUGGUGAGAUUUUGGACCUGGUAUGAAGACAGAGCAAACACACUGUCAAAGAUGGAUCAUAAAGCAAGAGUUAUAGAUUGGAAAAGGGAAGAAACAAAUAAACAAAUAAACAAAUAAUAAGUUAGAUCUGAUUUAAUUAUCCAAGUAACCCAAACACCAACAAAUGUGAAUUUACAUUUUGAAAGGGCUUUAUUUCAAAAUCAUGGGUUUCUAAAGAGGUGGCUGUGUAUCUGGAAUAUUGUACACUCUGGUGAAAUGGAGACUAUGGCUUUGGCUAUAUCCUAAUGAGUUGAUUGUCUGUGGUAUUCAGUCACAACACGGGCAAGCUGAUCUACACAGCUCUUUACCUUGAUCUUUGGUGACUACUGAAGGGUCCUGAUUAGGAGUGAUGAGGGCCCAUGACAGACUCCCCAUCUUAGGGGUACCUUUUGCUCUCAAUGUAAUUAAGCCACAAAACACCAUGGCAGUGGGAUCUAAGACGUGUGGUCUUUCUUCAAGACAUCGAAUUUACCUUGAAUGACGUCAGUACUUUGCCAGAUUGAUUCACUGUAGAAGAAAUGACAUUGAUACUUCGAGAUGCAAGUCUUCCCUACCCUCUUUUCAGCUUCAUCCUUGUGGAUGAAGGAAGACUCCCUGGGAACCACCACGUGAUGCGAAGCCCAAACCCUGUGGGGUGGCUUGGAAGAAGCAGACACCAAAUAACAGGCCCAAGAUGUGGGAGGAGCAGACUCCUUAUUAAAGGAACCAUCUUGGAGAGACAGCACCACCAAUAUCAAGAUUUUAGAUCACACAGUCAGAUUUUAGAUCACACAGGCUUCAUCUGCACUGAAGCCACCAAGUUAAACAUUUCUAGUCAACUCAUACAACCACAAGAGA